GGUAGCUUGCGCUCCCCGGUCUCGAAGCCCCGACGAGUAGGAGGGUCGCAGCGGUGAGCGUCGAAGGGACUCCGGCGUGAGCCGGCCUGGAGCCGCCGCUGGUGCAGAUCUUGGUGGUAGUAGCAAAUACUCGAGAGAGACCCUAGAGGGCUGAUGUGGAGCAGGGUUCCAUGUGAACAUCAGUUGGACAUGGGUCAGUCGGUCCUAAGUCCAUGGCGAAGGCCAGUUCCUACCGUGCAGGCAAAUGUCAAAACGUGUUGUGUUGGGAGUGCGUGCGGCGAGAGAGCAGUGUUGAACUCUUGGAGCAUAWUAAACCUUCUUCUCCGACACGCCCUCCUCCUCACGUGUGCGUGAUAUGUCCAAAGGAUACUCUUCUGGACGAAAGGGAUUCCGGUAAAUAUUCUGGAACUUGGCUUCGGAGAUGCUCGGUGCCCUCGGUCGGUUACGGCCGGCCUUGGGAGUCACACUGUGGCAUAAACCCCAGUAAUGGGAUCAAAGCCCGCAUCCGUCGGCGGUGGCCCAGGGAAGAGUUUUCUUUUCUGUUUAAGACAUCUUUAGCCCUGGAAGCAACUUGCUAGGAGAGAGGGCUGUGGUACAAGGUAUCACUG
rnacentral:rRNA from 1 species